rnacentral:rRNA from 1 species
GACAAUGGGGGCAACCCUGAUCCAGCAAUGCCGCGUGAGUGAUGAAGGCCUUCGGGUUGUAAAGCUCUUUCGCCCGCGACGAUAAUGACGGUGCCCGGAGAAGAAGCUGCGGCUAACUACGUGCCAGCAGCCGCGGUAAUACGUAGGCAGCAAGCGUUGUUCGGAAUUAUUGGGCGUAAAGAGUGUGUAGGCGGUGCUCUAAGUCUGUCGUGAAAUCUCCCGGCUCAACUGGGAGGGUGCGCCGGAAACUGCCGGACUCGAGUGCGGGAGAGGAGAGUGGAAUUCCUGGUGUAGCGGUGAAAUGCGUAGAUAUCAGGAGGAACACCGGUGGUGUAGACGGCUCUCUGGACCGUAACUGACGCUGAGACACGAAAGCGUGGGUAGCAAACAGGAUUAGAUACCCUGGUAGUCCACGCCCUAAACGAUGCAUAUUUGGUGUGGGCAGUUCAUUCUGUCCGUGCCGGAGCUAACGCGUUAAAUAUGCCGCCUGGGGAGUACAGUCGCAAGGCUGAAACUCAAAGGAAUUGACGG